AUCCAGCUGAGGAGUCUCAAAUGGGACGAAACGCGCGUCCUGGAU
rfam:Schistosoma rodhaini strain Burundi genome assembly, scaffold: SROB_scaffold0008056